rfam:Salmo salar isolate Sally breed double haploid chromosome ssa23, whole genome shotgun sequence.
UGGCUCAGUUGGUAGAGCAUGGUGUUUGCAACGCCAGGAUUGUGGGUUUGAUUCCCAC